GUUAAAAUCCGGAUCGCAACCUGGUGCAACAGGUCUGACUUCUACGCCGUGCGGUUGGCAACUGUUCGUUUUUGUAAUGACUUUGAAUUAACAUCUUCACCACCACCACUUCUGUCACAACGGUGAACAAAACGAAGUACACCCGCACUUACAAGCGAUUUGUCGAAGUGUAAUUCGCAAUUGUCUGCCUGAAAUCGAACGUUGCCGAAGACCUAAUGGAAAGCUUUCUAUAAACCAACAGGUAGUUUCGUAACUUUGACUGGCCUCUUCGAACAAUUAGAAAACAUUGGGAAAUCAAUUUUUUAACGACGAGACGAACGAGGAUUCGAAAAAUUAAUGGGCGUGAUAGAUUUUGGAGACUUCAACGUCAAAUCGUUUAUUGCCUCGGGGACACUGCACCUUAUUUUAUUCAGUUAUCGGUCGUUUACCAAAAAACAACCCGAAGAAUGCAGCUGUCAACGGCACAGAAAUAAUCUGGCGGAAGAAAAGUAAACGAAACUUAAUACCAAAUAACGGAGUGUCGCAGGUUCCAAAGUUUGAAAAGAAAGACAUCGACAAUAUGUCUGCAAAGAAAGAUAAACCAAAGUGUAAAGUUGCUCCUCCAGAAGGUUCGGACCCCAGCACCGUAUCCCAAGAGUAAGCUUUGAUAUGGAAGAUCUUUAACUUCAAUUAGGGGUCGAAAGAAGAAACGGCAAGACCCUGGUGUGGAGUGACUGUGAAUCAGUCAGAAACAACGACGAAAAACACCGAACCAAAAAUGGAUGAUGAUCUCUCGACCCCGGAGGCUAAAAUAAUCGACGGGAAGCAAUGAAAUUCGCAAGUAAUAAUUUUCUUUCUAAUUAUUUCCGUUUAUUUUGGUCCUAACGCGAAGGUCGAUGGGGAAUGAAUGAUGGGGGGGAAUCUACACUGACGUAAUAACCUUAUACGAAAAUUAUGGAUAAAUUGUAUGUACAUCCGAGUAGUACAAUAUAUCCAAUGUAUGUAAAAUUACAGAAAACAAUGACGAGUGAUUUUUUUGAUAUUGCUCGGUAAAAACUGUAGUGGUUCCUACUA